ensembl:lncRNA
CCAUCCAAUCAGCGUCUCCAUCCCAUCCAUGUCCUCAUAUUGUCCUCAUCCCGUCAUCUCCAUCCAAUCAGCAUGUCCAUCCCAUCAACGUUUCCAUCUUGUCACCAUCCCAUCGAUGUCCUCAUCCCAUCGACAUCGCCAUCUUGUCACCAUCCCAUCAUCUCCAUCCUAUCAGCGUUUCCAUCCCAUCGAUGUCCCCAUCUUGUCCCAUCCCAUCCAUGUCCUCAUCCCAUCAAUGUCCUCAUCCCACCAACUUUUCCAUCUUGUCACCAUCCCAUCAACAUUUCCAUCUUGACAUCAUUCCAUUGAUGUCUCCGUCUUGUCUCCAUCCCACCAAUAUCUCCAUACCGUCAAUAUUUUCAUCCCAUCAGUGUCUCCAUCCCAUGAAAGUUCUCAUCUCAUCAAUGUCACCAUCCCGUGAAGGUUCUCAUUCCAUCCAAGUCUCCAUUUUGUCUCCAUCCCAUCAAUGUCUCCAUCUUGUCACCGUCCCGUCGUCUCCAUCCCAUCCAUGUCCCCAUCCCGUCAUCACCAUGAGCUCGGCCGUCAUCAUCACCUCAACCACCAUCACCCUGACCAUGACCACCAUGACCAUCGCCAUCAUCUUGACCAUGCCUAUGACCAUCACUUGCCCAUCAUCUUGACCGUGGCCACCGUCACCAUGACCACGCCCAAGACCAUCACCAUGCUCAUCACAUUUUGGGGCCACCACCCCACGUGGACUUUGGGGCCAUCACCCCAUGUCCACGUUGAGGUUCACUGAUGUUCACAUUUUGGGGCCACCACCUCACGUCCACUUUGGGGUUCACCAAUGCCCACUUUGGGGCCACCAACACCCAUUAUUGGGUUCCUUGAUGUUCACAUUUUGGGUCCACCACCUCACAUUGAUUUUGGGGUUCACCAAUGCCCAUUUUGGGGUCCCUGAUGCCCAUUUUGGGGUUCCUGGUGCCCAUUCAGGGUCCCUGAUGCCCAUUUUGGGGUUUUCAAUGCCCAUUUUGGGGUCUCUGAUGCCCAUUUUGGGGUUCCUGGUGCCCGUUUCGGGGUCCCUGAUGCCCAUUCGGGGUCUGAUGCCCAUUUCGGGGUCCCUGAUGCCCAUUUUGGGGUUCCUGGUGCCCAUUUCGGGGUCCCUGAUGCCCAUUUUGGGGUCUCUGAUGCCCAUUUUGGGGUUCCUGGUGCCCGUUUUGGGGUUCCUGAUGCCCAUUUUGGGGUCUCUGAUGCCCAUUUUGGGGUUCCUGGUGCCCGUUUUGGGGUUCCUGGUGCCCUUUCGGGGUCUGAUGCCCGUUUUUGGGUCCCUGUUGCCCAUUUUGGGGUUCUCAAUGCCCAUUUUGGGGUCUCUGGUGCCCGUUCGGGGUCUGAUGCCCAUUUUGAGGUCCCUGAUGCCUGUUUUGGGGUCCCUGAUGCCCAUUUUGGGAUUCCUGGUGCUCAUUCAGGGUUCCUGGUGCCCAUUUGGGUCCCUGAUGCCCAUUUUGGGGUUCCUGAUGCCCGUUUUGGGGUUCCUGAUGCCCAUUUCGGGGUCCCUGAUGCCCAUUUCGGGUUUCCUGGUGCCCGUUCGGGGUCUGACGCCCGUUUCGGGGUUCCACAGUGCGGACGUGUCCCCAGGCCCACCUGAGCCUGGAGAACGGGCAGGUGGCCGCGGGGGCCAUGGAGAAGGUGCCCGUGGAGGGCACCUGGGCCAGGUUCUCCUGCCGGCCCGGCUUCCGCCUGGUGGGCGCCGCGCGCAGCAACUGCACCCGGAGCGGGCGCUGGAGCCAGCCCCGGCCCCACUGCCUGCGUCAGUCAGGGUUUGGGGUUUGGGGUUUUGGGGAGGUUUGGGCAUUUUGGGGCUUUUGGGGCUUUUGGGGUUUUGGGGGGUUUUGGGGGUUUUGGGGUUUUUGGGGUUUUUGGGGUUUUUGGGUUUUUUUGGGGGGGUUU